CAAUAGCGUAUAUUAAAGUUGUUGCAGUUAAAACGCUCGUAGUCGGAUUUCGGGCGGGCCGACCGGUCUGCCGUUGGGUAUGCAGCUGGCCGGCGCGUCCUUCCUUCCGGAGACCGUGCCUUCUCUUAACUGGGCGGGAUUGCGGGUAGGACGGAAACGUUUACUUUGAAAAAUCAGAGUGUUUCAAGCAGGCAGCUCGCUCUUGCAUGGAUUAGCAUGGGAUAAUGAAAUAGGACUUUGGUGCUAUUUUGUUGGUUUCGAACACCGAAGUAAUGAUUAACAGGGACAGUCAGGGGCACUCGUAUUCCGCCGAGAGAGGUGAAAUUCUCAGACCAGCGGAAGACGAACCACUGCGAAAGCAUUUGCCAAGGAUGUUUUCAUUGAUCAAGAACGAAAGUUAGGGGAUCGAAGAUGAUUAGAU
rnacentral:rRNA from 1 species